rnacentral:rRNA from 1 species
AUGUGGCGACAGCGGCAACCAGCACUCGCAUAUGUGGGUCAGCAGAGGAGAGCGGCACGCGGCAAUGACGCCUCGCACUCACAUCCAUGGGGCAGCAGAGGAGAGUGGGAAGCAACCAUGGCGGCCAGUGCUCGCGUCCUUGUGGAAGUAGAGGAGGAGUGGACGCCAGUGACAGAGUCCCCUGUUCGCACCGGUGGGAGUAGAAGAGGAGCGGGAAGCGAAGACAUCGAUCCGCGUUCGCGGCAGCAUCCAGCAGAGGAGGAACGGCGGGCAGGGGAUGCGAUCUGCGCUCGGAUCUGUGGGGCAGCAGAACAGGAGAGACAACUUGUUAUGAGGGAAGAGAGAAAAUUACAGGAUAAAAAAUCCCUUAAUCCUGCUAAUUGA